AAUCUUCAGGGCAGGGUGUGAUUCCCUACUGGCGGUAUAGCCCGCGAGCUUGUAAUGAGCUGAUUCGGUUAAAUUCCGAAGCCAACAGUAUAGUCUGGAUGAAAGAAGAA
rnacentral:ncRNA from 1 species